UACGAAGGGGGCUAGCGUUGCUCGGAAUGACUGGGCGUAAAGAGCUCGUAGGCGGUUCGUCGCGUCGGCUGUGAAAACCCGGAGCUCAACUCCGGGCCUGCAGUCGAUACGGGCGGACUUGAGUGUUGCAGGGGAGACUGGAAUUCCUGGUGUAGCGGUGAAAUGCGCAGAUAUCAGGAGGAACACCGGUGGCGAAGGCGGGUCUCUGGGCAACUACUGACGCUGAGGAGCGAAAGCGUGGGGAGCGAACAGG
rnacentral:rRNA from 1 species